rnacentral:tRNA from 1 species
UGGGGAGUCGUCCAAUGGCAAGACAGCGGACUCUGGAUCCGCCGAUCGGGGUUCGAAUCCCUGCUCCCCAG